AGUGAACGCUGGCGGUAGGCCUAACACAUGCAAGUCGAACGGCAGCACAGUAAGAGCUUGCUCUUACGGGUGGCGAGUGGCGGACGGGUGAGGAAUACAUCGGAAUCUACUUUUUCGUGGGGGAUAACGUAGGGAAACUUACGCUAAUACCGCAUACGACCUACGGGUGAAAGCAGGGGAUCUUCGUACCUUGCGCGAUUGAAUGAGCCGAUGUCGGAUUAGCUAGUUGGCGGGGUAAAGGCCCACCAAGGCGACGAUCCGUAGCUGGUCUGAGAGGAUGAUCAGCCACACUGGAACUGAGACACGGUCCAGACUCCUACGGGAGGAAGCAGUGGGGAAUAUUGGACAAUGGGCGAAAGCCUGAUCCAGCCAUACCGCGUGGGUGAAGAAGGCCUUCGGGUUGUAAAGCCCUUUUGUUGGGAAAGAAAAGCAGCAGGUUAAUACCCCGCUGUUCUGACGGUACCCAAAGAAUAAGCACCGGCUAACUUCGUG
rnacentral:rRNA from 1 species